rnacentral:rRNA from 1 species
AUUGAACGCUGGCGGCAUGCCUUACACAUGCAAGUCGAACGGCAGCACGGGUGCUUGCACCUGGUGGCGAGUGGCGAACGGGUGAGUAAUACAUCGGAACAUGUCCUGUAGUGGGGGAUAGCCCGGCGAAAGCCGGAUUAAUACCGCAUCCGAUCUACGGAUGAAAGCGGGGGACCUUCGGGCCUCGCGCUAUCGGGUUGGCCGAUGGCUGAUUAGCUAGUUGGUGGGGUAAAGGCCUACCAAGGCGACGAUCAGUAGCUGGUCUGAGAGGACGACCAGCCACACUGGGACUGAGACACGGCCCAGACUCCUACGGGAGGCAGCAGUGGGGAAUUUUGGACAAUGGGCGAAAGCCUGAUCCAGCAAUGCCGCGUGUGUGAAGAAGGCCUUCGGGUUGUAAAGCACUUUUGUCCGGAAAGAAAUCCUUGGCCCUAAUACGGUCGGGGGAUGACGGUACCGGAAGAAUAAGCACCGGCUAACUACGUG